rnacentral:tRNA from 2 species
GGGAUAUUAGCUCAGCUGGUAGAGCAAUUGACUCUUAAUCAAUGGGUCGUAGGUUCGAGCCCUACAUGUCCCA